rnacentral:rRNA from 1 species
UGGGCAUAAAGAGCACGUAGGCGGUCUGCUCAGUCGGGUGUGAAAGCCCACGGCCCAACCGUGGAACUGCACCCGAUACUGGUAGACUUGAGGACGGAAGGGGUGAGUGGAACUCCAGGUGGAACGGUGAAAUGUAUAGAUAUCUGGAGGAACACCGGUGGCGAAAGCGGCUCUCUGGCUUGUAACUGACGCUGAGGCUCGAAAGCGUGG